rfam:Ectocarpus siliculosus strain Ec 32, whole genome shotgun sequence assembly, chromosome LG01
CCGAAAUCUGCGCCGGAACCAAGCGGCAUCCAACAUUUGUCACAGCCGUGCUCACCGCCACGGACAGUAAACCCCUGAACGGGGUUGUCAGUAGUAGCUAUUAGUGGCAUCAGCUACUGCUGUAAACCCACAGUUCAGGAGAUUGGGGUCAGUGGCAGCGAGCACGGCUGCGACAAAUGAUGGAUACCGCUUGGUUCCGGCGCAGAUUUCGG